GGAUAAGGAGGGCAGGCAGCCCCUGCUGCCGGGUCCCCUGCUCCUCCCCUGCCUUUAAACCACGGUGUCCCUGGGCAGGCAGCCGGUCUGUGUGAGCAAGGAACUGGGAACAGUGCUCCAGGAUACAGUAAAAUGCAGCAAACCCCGGAUCCAGGGAAGAAAUGCUGCUGUCUGCUCCAGAGCAGGAGGCUGAAGGACAGCUUUAUUAAAACUAUACUAUAUUCCAUUAAUAUACUAUUUAAAGAGAUACUG